CACCUCAUCAAUCGGAAGGAAUUCCUUCCGGUCAAUGGGGUUGUUAUACCUCAUCGAUCUGAAGGAAAUCCUUCUGGUCGAUGAGGUAUAACAACCUCAUUGACCGGAAGGGAUUCCUUCCGGUCGAUGAGGUAUAACAACCUCAUCGACCGGAAAGGAUUCCUUCCGGUCGGUGAGGCG
rnacentral:miRNA from 1 species